CCUACGGGAGGCAGCAGUGGGGAAUCUUGCGCAAUGGGCGAAAGCCUGACGCAGCGACGCCGCGUGUGGGAAGAAGGCCUUCGGGUUGUAAACCACUUUCAGGGGGGACGAAGCCACUCGGGUGAAUAGCCCAGAGGGUGACGGUACCUCCAGAAGAAGCCCCGGCUAACUACGUGCCAGCAGCCGCGGUAAUACGUAGGGGGCUAGCGUUGUCCGGAUUCAUUGGGCGUAAAGCGCGUGUAGGUGGCCUUACAGGUCCGCUGUGAAAACUCGAGGCUCAACCUCGAGACGUCGGCGGAAACCGUAUGGCUAGAGUCCGGAAGAGGAGAGUGGAAUUCCUGGUGUAGCGGUGAAAUGCGCAGAUAUCAGGAAGAACACCCGUGGCGAAGGCGGCUCUCUGGGACGGUACUGACACUGAGACGCGAAAGCGUGGGGAGCGAACAGGAUUAGAUACCCCAGUAGUC
rnacentral:rRNA from 1 species